rnacentral:rRNA from 1 species
GACGAACGCUGGCGGCGUGCUUAACACAUGCAAGUCGAACGGAAAGGCCCUGCUUGCAGGGUACUCGAGUGGCGAACGGGUGAGUAACACGUGGGUGAUCUGCCCUGCACUUCGGGAUAAGCCUGGGAAACUGGGUCUAAUACCGGAUAGGAGCCAUUUUUAGUGUGAUGGUUGUAAAGUUUUUUCGGUGUAGGAUGAGCUCGCGGCCUAUCAGCUUGUUGGUGGGGUAAUGGCCUACCAAGGCGGCGACGGGUAGCCGGCCUGAGAGGGUGGACGGCCACAUUGGGACUGAGAUACGGCCCAGACUCCUACGGGAGGCAGCAGUGGGGAAUAUUGCACAAUGGGCGCAAGCCUGAUGCAGCGACGCCGCGUGGGGGAUGACGGCCUUCGGGUUGUAAACUCCUUUCGCUAGGGACGAAGCUUUUGUGACGGUACCUAGAUAAGAAGCACCGGCUAACUACGUG